rnacentral:snRNA from 1 species
GGAUCCGUAACUUCGGGAAA